rnacentral:rRNA from 1 species
CGGUCUCAGUUCGGAUUGAAGGCUGAAAUUCGCCUUCAUGAAGCUGGAAUUGCUAGUAAUGGCAGGUCAGCAUACUGCCGUGAAUACGUUCCCGGGCCUUGUACACACCGCCCGUCACACCAUGAGAGUUGGAAAUACCCGAAGCCUGUGAGCUAACUGUAAAGAGGCAGCAGUCGAAGGUAGAGCCAAUGAUUGGGGUGAAGUCGUAACAAGGUAAC